ensembl:snoRNA SNORA74 Small nucleolar RNA SNORA74
CCCAGCUGUAGACAACACUUAGGUUGCAUCAUUACCUAGGCAAGUAUUACACUGCUGGGAGAAAAGCAGUUAAUAGCUGGCAGGCAUCCUGGGCCUGGUUAAUGCCAAAUACGUGUUAACUGUACCAGUGUGCCACUAUGGUUCAUU